GGGAGCACGCUUAGGCGUGUGACUGCGUACCUUUUGUAUAAUGGGUCAGCGACUUAUAUUCUGUAGCAAGGUUAACCGAAUAGGGGAGCCGAAGGGAAACCGAGUCUUAACUGGGCGUUAAGUUGCAGGGUAUAGACCCGAAACCCGGUGAUCUAGCCAUGGGCAGGUUGAAGGUUGGGUAACACUAACUGGAGGACCGAACCGACUAAUGUUGAAAAAUUAGCGGAUGACUUGUGGCUGGGGGUGAAAGGCCAAUCAAACCGGGAGAUAGCUGGUUCUCCCCGAAAGCUAUUUAGGUAGCGCCUCGUGAAUUCAUCUCCGGGGGUAGAGCACUGUUUCGGCAAGGGGGUCAUCCCGACUUACCAACCCGAUGCAAACUGCGAAUACCGGAGAAUGUUAUCACGGGAGACACACGGCGGGUGCUAACGUCCGUCGUGAAGAGGGAAACAACCCAGACCGCCAGCUAAGGUCCCAAAGUCAUGGUUAAGUGGGAAACGAUGUGGGAAGGCCCAGACAGCCAGGAUGUUGGCUUAGAAGCAGCCAUCAUUUAAAGAAAGCGUAAUAGCUCACUGGUCGAGUCGGCCUGCGCGGAAGAUGUAACGGGGCUAAACCAUGCACCGAAGCUGCGGCAGCGACGCUUAUGCG
rnacentral:rRNA from 1 species